AAGGAGUCUAGUAAAUGAGCGAGUCUAAGGUAUACUCCGAAUACCGCAGGCGCUGUGAAGGCGCUUGCUCGCCAGCCCCGGCUGGCGGGCGCGUGCCAACUCCAUAGCGAUGAUGGCGGCCCAGACAGCCGUCCGCAAUCGCGAGGUGGUCUCGUUCUCGCUCGCGAGAAGAGCCAUCCUCCGAGCUCACGUGCUAGUACCCGAAAGAUGGUGAACUAUGCUUGACGAGAGCUGAGUUAGGGGAAACCCUGAUGUAAGCUCGUCAUCGAUUCUGACGUGCAAAUCGAUCGUCUGAGUUACGUAUAGGGGCGAAAGACCAAUCGAACCAUCUAGUAGCUGGUUCCUUCCGAAGUUUCCCUCAGGAUAGCUCGUGCCGCUUUAGCUAGUAACAUGUGGUAAAGCUAAUGACUAGAGGUAUUGGGACCGAAACGGCCUCAACCUAUUCUCAAACUUUCAAUGUGUGUGAGAUCAAGCGGCUUACGGUUGACGCGCGCCGCCCGCAAGGGUCGGCGCGCCCACGAAGCCGCGCGACUCGGCGCGCUCGACGCGCCACUGCAAUAACGCGGCACGUAGUGGGCCGAUUUUGGUAAGCAGAAACGGCGAUGUGGGAUGAACCAAAUAUAAGGCUAAAGCGUCAAAGUCAACGCUCAUGG
rnacentral:rRNA from 1 species